AACGGACCCCCUCCCCUGCCAGAACCUCCCGAAGGAACCCAGGCCUGCCAACACCUUGAUGUUAGCCCGCCUCUCUCGCUGUUGACUGCAUCUUACCUGGAGGAAGAAACUGCGUCUUGCCUGGAGAAUGAGUUGAAAAAGUAAACAAACCCAAAAAUCAAUGACUUGUAAAGGGCAGGUCGGUGAACACAUUCCAAACCCAUAUCCAGAAACGUGAUGGAGAUUCCUGCCAAGAUGUUCAUAUCUGAGGCUUCCAGGUCUAAGACCACUGUGCCUGUCAGCUCUGGAUGGUGACGUUUGUUAAACACUUCUCUGAGAAGUUAAAGACGUGCUUCACAAGGCUUUGCAGCAGGAAUGCCGAGAGCCACAGGGGCCUGCCAGAAGGGUGGGAGGCAGAUCCACUCUGCCCUACAAAUCUUGUUUCCAGGCAGAAAAGAUGCAAGCAGCUACUCAGCCUGUGACUCAGUGAUUCCCAGCUGUGUGGGUGCUGAUCACAUGAAUCCCAAAGGUUAAAAAACGUGGGCCACUGGGCAUCAAGUAUGGGUCUUGAACAGCAUAGGAGCUGGGCAGAGGCCAGAAGGACUCCUGAGGAGAGGUCCUAAUUGUGCCUCUUUGGGAUCCAGUGACAGGCAUGGUAGGAUUAAGAUGGAUGGAGGAGAAUGAAUAAUGAAGCUCCACACAGCCACUGUGAUCCUCUCAUCCAGCAGGAGAUCAUUCUUCUCAAGGGCAAUAGUAUCAGAUGGUGGUGAAGAGCUCAAAGUCUGCCUCUGACAUAGUAACUUUGAUUAGUCAGCCAUUUUGGUUCACCUCUUCGUCAAGGUGUAGGGAGGAGUACCAGCUCGCCAGUGUGCCAUUAGGCAGGACCAUGUGACAAGUUUUGGCCAAUGUGCUGUAAGCAGAAGUGAUGUAUAUCAUUUCCAGAAUAUAACUGCUCCAGCAUUCUCUUCACUGCCAUGGCAACCAAGGGCCACGUUCCCACAUUGUGAGGCUUCAAAAUGGUGGAGCCUCCCUCAGUCUGGGUCUUUGAGUGAUUACAUGAGCUAGUAGUACACAUAAGGAAUAAUUUUUUGUUGCUUUAAGGCAUGGAAUUUGAGCACCAUUUGGUGGGCUUUGAGGAUUAUUGAUUACUGUAGCAUAACCUAGAAUAUUUUGACAAAUACAAUCUCUUAUUAACUGAGUGAGCAACUCUCUGAAGCUCUCUGAGUAUCGAUUUCCUCAUUUGUCAACUGGAG
rnacentral:lncRNA from 1 species